GCUCUCAAGUCAUUACUGUCCAUUCUUUUUCUCUUCCGCACUUCCCUUGAAAAGAAGCUGGUAAUCUGUUGUGCAGUCACGUAUUCAUUUCUGCUAAAACUGUAUUUUCCAAAGACUGUUUUUAUGCCCCACCUACGAUAGUAGAGGGGCAUUAUGUUUUCUGGCUUGUGCCUCCGUUCGUCCGUCCGUCUGUGCGUCCGUUCGUCCGUCCGCUUCAGGUUAAAGUUUUUGGUCAAGGCAGUUUUUGAAGAAGUUGAAGUCCAAUCAACUUGAAACUUAGUACACAUGUUCCCCAUGAUAUUAUCUUUCUAAUUUUACUGCCAAAUUAUAGUUUUGACCCCAAUUUCAUGGUCCACUGAAUAUAGAAAAUGAUAGUGCGAAGUUCAGGUUAAAGUUUUUGGUCAAGGUAGUUUUUGAUGAAGUUAAAGUUACAUCAACUUGAAACUUAGUACACAUGUUCCCUCUGAUAUGAUCUUUCUAAUUUUAAUUCCAAAUUAAAGUUUUGACCCCAAUUUCACGGUCCACUGAACAUAGAAAAUGAUAGUGCGAGUGGGGCAUUCGUGUACUAUGGACACAUUCUUGUUUCAUUACGCAUUUCAUCAGCAACUACAACUGGGUCCUCCUUUCUUCCAGUUUGGUUUCCUUUGUCAAAAUUUUGUAUAAGAUAUUCUUUCUGAUGAACACAUAAUUGCAC
rnacentral:lncRNA from 1 species